AGUGCAAGAGCAGUGAUUCUGGCCAAAAGACAUGUCAAAGAGAAGCCAUGAAGUGCAACUUUUAAAUGAAAAGCCUACCUAUUAUCCCAGGUGGCAUGCAUUCUGUGGAGACAGACCUGAAUGUGUGAUGAAAAGACCAAAAUAAAGUGACAUUCAAAAAAGGAAACAGACCCUUCUGGGGAAAAAUGGAGAAUCCACAAAGUAAGGAGCCAACAAGACCUGUAGGACAUUCCUUCAUCUUCUCCUGGAUAGGGUGGCCCAGCCAUGGAUAUAUGCCUCUAAUCGUGAGCUCAGCAUAAAUGCCCAUUGCUUGAUAAAGUCAAUGCAUGCAUGUACGUAUUCUGGACUCCUGGCCUUAGACUCUUGCCUUUGUGUUUACCAACUCAACUAUAAACCCUUUGAGGGCAGAAACCAUAUUUCAGAUUUCUUGAUAUCCUUUCCCUUCCUCCAUGUCACUAACACUUCAUGUACUUGACAAAGGUCAACACCUUUGAGAGGAGUGAGAGAAGACACUCCCACAGUGCUGAAGUAUGUCCUGCCCUUGCCCAACAUGGUGGGACUCUGCCUCCCAAUUCAAAGACCCCCAAAACUUCCACCAAUCCUGUGCCUUUCUCCAACUCAAGCUACAAGUAAGAAUGGAAAGAUACCUUAGAUACCACCCAGCCCAAUCUUCUCAUUUCACUAGCAUAGAAACCGAGGCCACAGAAGAGAAUUGACUUAAAAACAAGACUGUGCAUCUCAGGAAAGGAAGCUGUCACUCUAGAACCAGAUCAUAUGACUCCUAGUUCAAUAUCCAUAAGACUCCAUCACACUAUUUUUUUGGCAUCAAGUAUCUAGAGAUAGUUCCAUCUGAAGAACCUGGAACCUAGAGCAGCUGAGGGUUAGAGUGCAGGAGGCUGAGAUCUCUUACUGCCCCUCCAUCUGCUCUAGGAAGUUCUGUUUCUUGAAGGGAACUCUUCAGAGAAAGGGACCACAAAUGAAUUGCUGCAGCUACGAAAUGAUACCAUGAUAAGAAUGGAAAUAAUUCUAGAUUCUCUGCUCAUUUCAACAAGUAAAAUAAGGCAUGUAUUUCUCCAUGGAUAGUGUUCUUUGGUCUUUGUAAAAAUUCUUUCUGUUUUGACACUUUUUCUAACCUAUUUCUUUGAAACCUGAGUUCACUCAGUUUGGGGAAACACAGGUUAUGAAAGAAGGAUGGGAAAAGGAAAAUGGAAUCACAGGAUUUUGAGUCAAAGAAAUUUUAACUUUCGUAGAAAGACUGCAGGGAUCAGCUAACACAACCAGCCCAUUUUAUAGAGGAGUCAACUAAGGCUCAAUGAAUCCACAACACUCACCCAGAAAAGCAGCUCAUUAGUGGCAGAGCUGAUCUAGAAUUCUGCGCUCCUGCUGCAGCAACCAGUCCUCUCUGCAGCAUCCCAAAAUCCCUCUCUCAUAAUAAUCCAGGAUAAUAGUCAUUUCCCAUUUUUAAUAAGAAGGAAGUGAGCACAGAGAGAACCAGGCACAGCAUGAUAGAAGAAAUCUGGAACUAAAGCCUCACUCCUUUUGUUUCCUCACUGCCUCGCCACCUCAGAUCCCAAAUCCAUAGCUUACAGGAAGCUUUUACCAACAUUAUUUCUAAGUGAGCACAGAAUGUACCAUCCAAGCCAGUGAUAAGAAUUCUCCCUGUAGCCUGCGGUUAUUGUAAUUAAAGUGCAUAACUUAU